AUUGAACGCUGCGGCAUGCUUUACACAUGCAAGUCGAACGGCAGCACGGGUGCUUGCACCUGGUGGCGAGUGGCGAACGGGUGAGUAAUGCGUCGGAACGUACCGAGUAGUGGGGGAUAACGCAGCGAAAGUUGUGCUAAUACCGCAUAUUCUGUGAGCAGGAAAGCGGGGGAUCUUCGGACCUCGCGCUAUACGAGCGGCCGACGUCUGAUUAGCUAGUUGGUGGGGUAAAGGCCUACCAAGGCGACGAUCAGUAGCGGGUCUGAGAGGAUGAUCCGCCACACUGGGACUGAGACACGGCCCAGACUCCUACGGGAGGCAGCAGUGGGGAAUUUUGGACAAUGGGCGAAAGCCUGAUCCAGCCAUGCCGCGUGUCUGAAGAAGGCCUUCGGGUUGUAAAGGACUUUUGUCAGGGAGGAAAUCCUGCUGGUUAAUACCUGGCGGGGAUGACAGUACCUGAAGAAUAAGCACCGGCUAACUACGUGCCAGCAGCCGCAGUAA
rnacentral:rRNA from 1 species